rnacentral:rRNA from 1 species
AUUGAACGCUGGCGGCAUGCCUUACACAUGCAAGUCGAACGGCAGCACGGGGCAACCUGGUGGCGAGUGGCGAACGGGUGAGUAAUGCAUCGGAACGUGCCAUUGAGUGGGGGAUAACGUAGCGAAAGUUGCGCUAAUACCGCAUAUUCUGUGAGCAGGAAAGCAGGGGACCGCAAGGCCUUGCGCUCUUUGAGCGGCCGAUGUCAGAUUAGCUAGUUGGUGAGGUAACGGCUUACCAAGGCGACGAUCUGUAGCGGGUCUGAGAGGAUGAUCCGCCACACUGGAACUGAGACACGGUCCAGACUCCUACGGGAGGCAGCAGUGGGAAUUUUGGACAAAUGGGACGCAAGCCUGAUCCAGCCAUGCCGCGUGAGUGAAGAAGGCCU